AGUUUGAUCCUGGCUCAGGACGAACGCUGGCGGCAUGCCUAACACAUGCAAGUCGAACGGAGAGUAACGCUGAUUUGAAGAUAGCUUGCUAUUGAAUUUUCUUGUUGCUCUUAGUGGCGGACGGGCGAGUAACGCGUGAGUAACCUGCCCUUCAGUGGGGAACAACAGUUGGAAACGACUGCUAAUACCGCAUAACGUCAUUUUCCCGCAUGAGAGAAUGACCAAAGGAUUUAUUCGCUGAAGGAUGGACUCGCGUCCGAUUAGCUAGUUGGUGAGGUAACGGCCCACCAAGGCGACGAUCGGUAGCCGAACUGAGAGGUUGAUCGGCCGCAUUGGGACUGAGACACGGCCCAGACUCCUACGGGAGGCAGCAGUGGGGGAUAUUGCACAAUGGGGGAAACCCUGAUGCAGCAAUGCCGCGUGAGGGAAGAAGGUCUUCGGAUUGUAAACCUAAGUUGUCAGGGACGAAAUAAAUGACGGUACCUGAAGAGAAAGCUCCGGCUAACUACGUGCCAGCAGCCGCGGUAAUACGUAGGGAGCGAGCGUUGUCCGGAUUUACUGGGUGUAAAGGGUGCGUAGGCGGGUUUGCAAGUCAGGCGUGAAAUACCGAGGCUCAACUUCGGGGCUGCGCUUGAAACUGUAGAUCUUGAGUGAAGUAGAGGUAAGCGGAAUUCCUAGUGUAGCGGUAAAAUGCGUAGAGAUUAGGAGGAACACCAGAGGCGAAGGCGGCUUACUGGACCACAACUGACGCUGAGGCUCGAAAGCGUGGGGAGCAAACAGGAUUAGAUACCCUGGUAGUCCACGCCCUAAACGAUGGAUACUAGAUGUGGGGUAAUAAUAUUAUUCCGUAUCGAAACUAACGCGAUAAGUAUCCCGCCUGGGGAGUACGUUCGCAAGAAUGAAACUCAAAGGAAUUGACGGGGGCCCGCACAAGCAGUGGAUUAUGUGGUUUAAUUCGACGCAACGCGAAGAACCUUACCAGGAUUUGACAUCCAACUAACGAAGUAGAGAUACAUUAGGUGCCCUUCGGGGAAAGUUGAGACAGGUGGUGCAUGGUUGUCGUCAGCUCGUGUCGUGAGAUGUUGGGUUAAGUCCCGCAACGAGCGCAACCCCUAUUGUUAGUUGCUACGCGAGAGCACUCUAGCGAGACUGCCGUUGACAAAACGGAGGAAGGCGGGGACGACGUCAAAUCAUCAUGCCCCUUAUGUCCUGGGCUACACACGUAAUACAAUGGCCGUCAACAGAGGGAAGCAAAGCCGCGAGGUGGAGCAAAUCCCUAAAAACGGUCUCAGUUCGGAUUGCAGGCUGCAACUCGCCUGCAUGAAGCUGGAAUUGCUAGUAAUCGCGGAUCAGCAUGCCGCGGUGUAUACGUUCCCGGGCCUUGUACACACCGCCCGUCA
rnacentral:rRNA from 1 species